UUCAGCCCAGGGUGCAUGGCUCCACUUUUUCCUGUGUAGACACCUCUCCUUCAUACUCCAUUCCUACAUCUGUUCACAGAUUAAAGCCUGGAGACUUUAAGGUCAUUGGAGCUUUAGGAGACUCACUUACAGCGGCCAAUGGUGGUGGCUCUUCUAUUAAUGACGUGCUUGAUGUGCUGACUCAGUAUCGAGGUCUUUCCUGGAGCAUUGGCGGCAAUGAAGACGUUUCUA